rnacentral:rRNA from 1 species
UACGUAGGGUCCGAGCGUUGUCCGGAAUUACUGGGCGUAAAGAGCUCGUAGGUGGUUUGUCACGUUGUUCGUGAAAACCCACAGCUCAACUGUGGGCGUGCGAGCGAUACGGGCAGACUAGAGUACUGCAGGGGAGACUGGAAUUCCUGGUGUAGCGGUGGAAUGCGCAGAUAUCAGGAGGAACACCGGUGGCGAAGGCGGGUCUCUGGGCAGUAACUGACGCUGAGGAGCGGAAGCGUGGGGAGCGAACAGG